GCGCGGCUUGGUUGGCCCGUGCGCGCUGCCGAUCGCGGGCCCGGCCGCCUCUUUGAACUGAAUUCGCGGGAAAAUUAGGGGUCGGAGCGGCCUUCCUGCUGGCCCCGGUGCAUUGUGGGGAGAGAGGGACCCAGCGAACGGCUUAGGGAGCCGUUUCUCGCCUUCUGAGCGUCGUCAGUCACCGCCCCCAGGGGGGUACAAGACCCCUGAAGAGAGGCGGGCCUCUGAGGAACUGGGGGCGAGGGGCCUAUUAAAUGAACCGAGAUCCAUUACAGAUCAUCGAGUCUCUAACUUCACAGGAAGGGGCCUGGCUAGGGGUUGGGUGGGUCGUUUCUCGUCAGAGGGGCGCCCAGGGCGUGGAUCGCGCGUCUCCUGUCCCCUCGCCACCACGUGCCCCUUACCACCCAAGGCCGAGUCCCACCCAGCAAAGCCCUUGAGAGGACUGGGGGCAACCAGGGUGUUGUGGCUGCCGCUCUCGGACGCGACCGGGCUCCACCAAAGGGAGCGGCUUCUAUGUAACAGGAAUCACCUAUGAAAUGAGGAAAACUAUUUUUGGUAGGUGCUUUGAAGCUUCAGGAUCGUUGCUGAGAAAGUCGUGGAUUCUCAACGUGUCGGAAGCCAAACGUAGAUACCUGAUCCCACCCCCACUCCAUCCUCCCGCCCCCCCCCCCACUCCACCCCUCUCCCCACUCAGCCCUGCCAGGCAUCAUAGGAGUGGGCAGAGACAAACUGAACGAUUUCUUAAAAGUAUGUAUAACCUUGUUGGGAACCUGCUCGUUUUGCGCUCAGAAACUCGAAGGAAUCCGUGGUUUUGCCGGUCCUGCUAAAAAGACAGAUGCAUAGGCCCGAUUUAGUCUGCUCGUACAGACCGGUUUGGAGAAUACAUGUAGAACACUGAAAAAAUCGUAUUACCUUGGACAAGGUAGAGUUAACUGAUGAGUUGUCUUUUACAGUCUGCAUAAUCACAUUUUGUUCCAUAGGCAUAACUAUUUAGAAAUCAUCACGCGGUUGGUUGUUUCUG